GCUGGCGGCAGCCCUUACACAUGCAAGUCGAGCGAGAAAGUUUCUUCGGAAGCGAGUAAAGCGGCGGACGGGUGAGUAACGCGUAGGAAUCUACCAUUCAGUGGGGGAUAGCUCGGGGAAACCCGAAUUAAUACCGCAUAUACCCUAAGGGGGAAAGAGGGCCUAUCCUUGGAAGCUCUUGCUGUUUGAUGAGCCUGCGUGAGAUUAGUUUGUUGGUGAGGUAAUGGCUCACCAAGACUACGAUCUCUAGCUGGUCUGAGAGGACGAUCAGCCACACUGGGACUGAGACACGGCCCAGACUCCUACGGGAGGCAGCAGUGGGGAAUAUUGGACAAUGGGGGCAACCCUGAUCCAGGCAUGCCGCGUGUGUGAAGAAGGCCUUCGGGUUGUAAAGCACUUUAGGUAAGGAAGAAAAGUUAUUGGUUAACACCUAAUGACCGUGACAUUACUUACAGAAUAAGGACCGGCUAACUCCGUGCCAGCAGCCGCGGUAAUACGGAGGGUCCAAGCGUUAAUCGGAAUUACUGGGCGUAAAGCGCGCGUAGGCGGUUUGACAAGUUGGGUGUGAAAUCCCCGGGCUUAACCUGGGAACUGCAUUCAAAACUUUUAAACUGGAGUACGGGAGAGGAGAGUAGAAUUCAUGGUGUAGCGGUGAAAUGCGUAGAUAUCAUGAGGAAUACCAAUGGCGAAGGCAACUCUCUGGACCGUAACUGACGCUGAGGUGCGAAAGCGUGGGUAGCAAACAGGAUUAGAUACCCUGGUAGUCCACGCCGUAAACGAUGACAACUAGCCGUUGGACUUUCGGGUUCAGUGGCACAGCUAACGCAUUAAGUUGUCCGCCU
rnacentral:rRNA from 1 species